AAGGUAUUAGACCCUAUCGUAAUUAGGCCGGCUGGUACAGGUAGUAAUGCAAUAUAACCACAGUCCUAAAAAUCGCAUCAUUAAUCUGGCAGACCUGGUGCCACCGGACCCUUGAGCCCAGGAUUUAAUCUUCUACGCCUACAGAUCUCGAGUGAUUCUUCGUCGGAGGAAGACUGUCGAAGUAAAACAGAACGUAAAUCAAAAUCGAAAAAGAACAAAAAUAAGAAGAAGAAGCAAAAGGAGAAGUUGAGGAACAGGAUAAAUGAAAAGGAUGGCAAUUCUUUGAAGGAGGCUCUCAACAAGGAAGAGGAGAGCCAGAGGGAGGCGGAAAGACUCCUAAAAAUGGAUGAACGUAAGAGACCAUAUAAUAGCAUGUUCACAGCCAAGGAACCAACUGCUGACGCGGUGGAGGCCUUCCAGAUGAAGAGACCUAGGGAGGAUGACCCAAUGGCUAGUUUUAUUUAAUUAAUUAAUAUAUAUUUUUUUAUUAUUCCGAGUGCACAUCGGAAAUAAUUCUAAAGACUAAUUAUAGUGAGAAUUAAUAUGAGAAAUGUAUUAAUAGUACGUAAUAAAUAUAUUACC